rnacentral:rRNA from 1 species
AAUGAACGCUGGCGGCGUGCUUAACACAUGCAAGUCGAACGGCAACGCAUUAAUUGCUUGCUCUGCCGGGUGGCCAGAGGUGUACGGGCGAAGAAUACAGCCACACCUGCUUUUUCGGCGAGCUUCACGUAGGUAAACAUACGCUAAGAUUGCAUAUGCCGCAGAAGUGAAAGGAUGGGAUCGUUGCGGCUUGUGCGACUGAACUAGCGGAUGUCGGACUGGCUAGUGGGCGGGGUAAAGGCCCAGCAAGGGGACGAUCCGUAGCCGGUCGGAGAGGAUGAUAGGCGACACUGGAACUGAGCCAGGGUCCAGACUCCUGCGGUAGGCAGCAGUGGGGAAUAUUGGACAAUGGGGGCAAGCCUGAUCCAGCCAUACCGCGUGAGUGACGAAGGCGUUCGGGUUGUAAAGCCCUUUUGUUGGGAGAGAAAAGCAGCAGGUUAAUACGGCGCUGUACUGACGGUACCUGACGAAGAAGCACCGGCUAACUUCGUG